rnacentral:rRNA from 4 species
GACGAACGCUGGCGGCGUGCCUAAUACAUGCAAGUCGAACGAACUCUGGUAUUGAUUGGUGCUUGCAUCAUGAUUUACAUUUGAGUGAGUGGCGAACUGGUGAGUAACACGUGGGAAACCUGCCCAGAAGCGGGGGAUAACACCUGGAAACAGAUGCUAAUACCGCUUAACAGCUUGGACCGCAUGGUCCGAGCUUGAAAGAUGGCUUCGGCUAUCACUUUUGGAUGGUCCCGCGGCGUAUUAGCUAGAUGGUGGGGUAACGGCUCACCAUGGCAAUGAUACGUAGCCGACCUGAGAGGGUAAUCGGCCACAUUGGGACUGAGACACGGCCCAAACUCCUACGGGAGGCAGCAGUAGGGAAUCUUCCACAAUGGACGAAAGUCUGAUGGAGCAACGCCGCGUGAGUGAAGAAGGGUUUCGGCUCGUAAAACUCUGUUGUUAAAGAAGAACAUAUCUGAGAGUAACUGUUCAGGUAUUGACGGUAUUUAACCAGAAAGCCACGGCUAACUACGUGCCAGCAGCCGCGGUAAUACGUAGGUGGCAAGCGUUGUCCGGAUUUAUUGGGCGUAAAGCGAGCGCAGGCGGUUUUUUAAGUCUGAUGUGAAAGCCUUCGGCUCAACCGAAGAAGUGCAUCGGAAACGGGGAAACUUGAGUGCAGAAGAGGACAGUGGAACUCCAUGUGUAGCGGUGAAAUGCGUAGAUAUAUGGAAGAACACCAGUGGCGAAGGCGGCUGUCUGGUCUGUAACUGACGCUGAGGCUCGAAAGUAUGGGUAGCAAACAGGAUUAGAUACCCUGGUAGUCCAUACCGUAAACGAUGAAUGCUAAGUGUUGGAGGGUUUCCGCCCUUCAGUGCUGCAGCUAACGCAUUAAGCAUUCCGCCUGGGGAGUACGGCCGCAAGGCUGAAACUCAAAGGAAUUGACGGGGGCCCGCACAAGCGGUGGAGCAUGUGGUUUAAUUCGAAGCUACGCGAAGAACCUUACCAGGUCUUGACAUACUAUGCAAAUCUAAGAGAUUAGACGUUCCCUUCGGGGACAUGGAUACAGGUGGUGCAUGGUUGUCGUCAGCUCGUGUCGUGAGAUGUUGGGUUAAGUCCCGCAACGAGCGCAACCCUUAUUAUCAGUUGCCAGCAUUAAGUUGGGCACUCUGGUGAGACUGCCGGUGACAAACCGGAGGAAGGUGGGGAUGACGUCAAAUCAUCAUGCCCCUUAUGACCUGGGCUACACACGUGCUACAAUGGAUGGUACAACGAGUUGCGAACUCGCGAGAGUAAGCUAAUCUCUUAAAGCCAUUCUCAGUUCGGAUUGUAGGCUGCAACUCGCCUACAUGAAGUCGGAAUCGCUAGUAAUCGCGGAUCAGCAUGCCGCGGUGAAUACGUUCCCGGGCCUUGUACACACCGCCCGUCACACCAUGAGAGUUUGUAACACCCAAAGUCGGUGGGGUAACCUUUUAGGAACCAGCCGCCUAAGGUGGGACAGAUGAUUAGGGUG